AAAAAGAAGCAAGAUGGUUAAUAAAGUUAUAUGCAGAAGAAAACAAUUAGCAAGCAUUCCAAAUGCCGUAGUUAAAAAUACAUUAAACAAAGCAGGUCGUUGCUGUCCUCACCAUAACUUUCGCAUGGAACUUACCAGAAUAGCAAAGCUAUCUCCUGCUGCUCGCUAACUUGCUCCAGUUGUGUUGAGAAUAGCAAUUAUACUUUUUUGUUUACACAUUUUGUUUGGAAAUGUUUACAUCCGUGCAGUGAAACUAACUUUUAGAGAAAAGGAGUGUCAUUUGGUUUCGAUGACACCAUAAAGGGGAAGCAUAGAAAUCUGUUGAUGAAAUCUUCAGAAUGUUAGCAGAAUGGGCAGCUUCCAGUGAUACCAUCCCAACAGUGACUCCAGGCUAUGUACUGUAUAGAAAUGCCACCUUCUCUGAUUAGAAAUGGCCCUUGUCCUAGACCCGUGUGUAGAGCCACUUCUUGUCUAGAGCUACAUAGACGCCUCCGUGUGUGACAGAGGGCUUCUGUCUCUAUCUUUUCCCUCACAGCAGAUCCCACAGCUCCUCUUUGUUGAUCACAAUUCUCAUCCUGCAGGCCCUCUCUGGGGUCCUGUUAGAAGUGAGGCUGGGAUCCCAAAAAGGACCCCAGAAUCCGGUGUCUUGGGCAAGAAAGUUUUAUUUAAUUCUGCAGAAGUUUUCAAAGCCCUAACAAGUUCUGGGAAGCAAGCACACCAGCGGGGAGUCCCUCAGAGGGUUACUCCCAACAUGAGGGUUCUGGGCUUACUCUACUGGUCAAAAUUUGGUCUCAGAUUCUCAUACAGUUGGCGAAUUCACAUGGAGAAAUGUGGUCUGGUAAUAAUGUACUUACUGAGGUUUGGAGACGUUUGGUGUUUUGGAAGGACGUCAAAACUCGGGAGAAUCAGAUUUCAUGUGACGGGAACUAGAAACUUAUGUGGGGCAGUCACCAAACGGCAUUUCCUCAAAGCAGAGUCAUCCGGGCUCUGCUAAUCUUUGUGUUUCUCCCAGGUCUUAGGCUCGUUAAUAAAAGGAUUUAGAAAUGGAUUCAGCAGAAAGCGCAAGAACAACUUUGUUAGAGUUUGCAAAACAACAGGGCACAGAAGCUGCCAGGAGUCGGGGCAGGAAGCUGGAGAGAGGAAGACGUGGAGCUGGAAGGGACAGGGGGCAACGGAGAUCGGAGAUCAGCGAAGCAGCCACAUGACAGACAAACAGCAGCUGGGUGGGAAUAUGACUGGGGAAUUUUCGAGUAUCAGGGAAGGCCUACCCAGACUUUGGUCAGAGAUAAGAGAAGAAAAAGUUAUGUGUUACUGACUGAGAAGAGCAGACCAGCUCUGCGGUGUUACAUUAUGGAAGAUCUGCCAGCAAUUGCGUGGAUUUGGGGAGCCCCGGACUACAAACCCAGAGGUGGCACCACCUACAAUGGGCUGGGCCCUCCCCCAUCAGUCACUAAUGAAGAAACUGCUCUACAAGGCUGGGCCACAGCUUGACCUUCAGAAGCAUUUUCUCAGUUGAAGGUCCCUCCUUUCAGAUAACUAUAGUUUGUGUCAAGCCAAUGUAAAUCUAGCCUGCACACCUCCUUUGGUUACAGGUUUGGGGACACCAUUCCUUUGAGCCAAUAUGCUGUCAAACAGCAGAAGAAAUAUUUCACAUGGUUGUCCUGGCACGGCUCUCCCCCACAGUUUAGACUCACUGUCACCGUGCAGAAAAUGAAAAUGUCAACUAAAUUGGAACCAGACAUCCCAUGGCUAGAUUUAUAAGUCAAUAGAUACUUGUGAGCAUAUUAAACAAAAAAUAAUACAUUUAUCAGCCUAUUAAACAAAAACA
rnacentral:sRNA from 1 species